rnacentral:rRNA from 1 species
AUUGAACGCUGGCGGCAUGCCUUACACAUGCAAGUCGAACGGUAACAGGUCUUCGGAUGCUGACGAGUGGCGAACGGGUGAGUAAUACAUCGGAACGUGCCUAGUAGUGGGGGAUAACUACUCGAAAGAGUGGCUAAUACCGCAUGAGAUCUACGGAUGAAAGCAGGGGAUCGCAAGACCUUGUGCUACUAGAGCGGCCGAUGGCAGAUUAGGUAGUUGGUGGGAUAAAAGCUUACCAAGCCGACGAUCUGUAGCUGGCCUGAGAGGACGAUCAGCCACCCUGGGACUGAGACACGGCCCAGACUCCUACGGGAGGCAGCAGUGGGGAAUUUUGGACAACGGGCGCAAGCCUGAUCCAGCAAUGCCGCGUGCAGGAUGAAGGCCUUCGGGUUGUAAACUGCUUUUGUACGGAACGAAAAGCCCUGGGUUAAUACCCUGGGGUCAUGACGGUACCGUAAGAAUAAGCACCGGCUAACUACGUGCCAGCCGCCGCGGUAA